rnacentral:rRNA from 1 species
AGAGUUUGAUCCUGGCUCAGAUUGAACGCUGGCGGCAGGCUUAACACAUGCAAGUCGAGCGGGGUUAUGGUGCUUGCACUAUGACUUAGCGGCGGACGGGUGAGUAAUACUUAGGAAUCUGCCUAUUAAUGGGGGACAACAUCUCGAAAGGGAUGCUAAUACCGCAUACGCCCUACGGGGGAAAGCAGGGGAUCUUCGGACCUUGCGUUAAUAGAUGAGCCUAAGUCGGAUUAGCUAGUUGGUGGGGUAAAGGCCUACACAAGGCGACGAUCUGUAGCGGGUCNUGAGAGGAUGAUCCGCCACACUGGGACUGAGACACGGCCC